UAGCGGAGGAAAAGAAACCAACAGGGAUUGCCCCAGUAAUGGCGAAUGAAGCGGCAAGAGCCCAAAUUUGAAAUCAGGCCCUCGCGGCUUGAGUUGUAAUUUGGAGACGGGAUACUAGAGAGAGGGAGGGCGACUAAGUGCCUUGGAACAGGCUGCCGUAGAGGGUGAGAGCCCCGUGAGUCGCGUGAACUUGAUCAAUUAGUGCCCGCCGAAGAGUCGAGUUGUUUGGGAAUGCAGCUCUAAGUGGGUGGUAUAUUCCAUCUAAGGCUAAAUAUUAGCGAGAGACCGAUAGCAAACAAGUACAGUGAUGGAAAGAUGAAAAGAACUUUGGAAAGAGAGUGAAAUAGUACGUGAAAUUGUUGAAAGGGAAGGGUAUUUGAUCCGACAUGGUGUUUAGCAGCGGCCCGUUCCUCGUGGAUGGGUGCACCUGGUUUACACUGGGCCAGCAUCGGUUCUGGGAGCCAUAUACGGGGCCGGCGAAUGUGGCCCUUCGAUUCUGUCGGAGGGUGUUAUAGCGCCAGCCAGACGUGGCUAUCCGGGACCGGGGACUGCGGCGAUUCUAUCGCCAAGGAUGCUGGCAGAACGAGCAAAUACCGCCCGUCUUGA
rnacentral:rRNA from 1 species